rnacentral:rRNA from 1 species
GACAGAGGUGCCGAGCGUUAGGCGGAAUCACUGGGCUUAAAGCGUGUGUAGGCGGGUGCCUAAGUACCUUGUGAAAUCCCACGGCUCAACCGUGGAACUGCUUGGUAUACUGGGUAUCUUGAGCCACUUAGGGACAACCGGAACAAACGGUGGAGCGGUGAAAUGCGUAGAUAUCGUUUGGAACGCCAAUGGUGAAAACAGGUUGCUGGGAGUGUGCUGACGCUGAGACACGAAAGCCAGGGGAGCGAACGGG